rnacentral:rRNA from 1 species
UACGAAGGGGGCUAGCGUUGCUCGGAAUCACUGGGCGUAAAGGGUGCGUAGGCGGGUCUUUAAGUUAGGGGUGAAAUCCUGGAGCUCAACUCCAGAACUGCCUUUGAUACUGAAGAUCUUGAGUCCGGGAGAGGUGAGUGGAACUGCGAGUGUAGAGGUGAAAUUCGUAGAUAUUCGCAAGAACACCAGUGGCGAAGGCGGCUCACUGGCCCGGUACUGACGCUGAGGCACGAAAGCGUGGGGAGCAAACAGG